rfam:Picea glauca, whole genome shotgun sequence.
CUCAUGAAGAGUUUGAUAUUGGAUAAGGAUGAACAUUUGUGGCUUUAUUAACACAUGAAAUUAGGACAGGAAGUGAUGUUUCCAGUGGUGGAUGAGUGAGUAACAUGUAAGGAAUUUCCCUUGGGAGGGUAACAACAGCUAGAAACAACUGCUAAUACCCAAUAUGAUGAAGAGAAAAAGGAGGAAUCUAACCAAGGAGGGGCUCACAUAUGAUUAGUUAGUUGGUGAGGAAAUGUCUUACCAAGGAAAUGAUAAAUAACUGGUCCGAGAGGAUGAUUAGCUACACUAGGACUAAGACAUGGCCUAGAAUCCUAUGAGAGGUAGCGGCGGGGAAUUUUACACAAUGGAAGAAAGGUUGAGGGAGCAAUGAAACGUGAAGGAAAAAGGGCCAUGGGUCAUGAAAGUAUUUUCUAGGAGAAUAAAAAAUGAUGUUAUUUGAGGAAUAAGAAUCGACUAAAUCUCCUCCAGUAAUCAUGGUAAGAUAAAGGAUACAAAAAUUAUCUAGAAUGGUUGGGUGUAAAGUGUCUGUAGGUGGCCUUUCAAUUUCACCAUAAAAUACUAGGGCUCAAACCUAUAUAGUCAGUGGAAACUACCAAGAUGGAUUAUGGUAGGGGUAGAAGGAAUUCCUAGUGGGGCAGUGAAAUGCAUUGAGAUUGGAAAGAACACCAAUGAUGAAAGCAAUCUGCUAGGUCGACACUACUAUUGAGAGAUGAAAGCUAGGAGAGAAAAUGGGAUUAUAUACCCCAAUAAUCCUAUCCAUAAAUGAUGGAUACUAAGUGUUGUGUGUAUCGACCCAUGGAGUUUUGUAGCUAACACGCUAAGUAUCCCAUAUAGGGAUUAUGUUUUCAAGAAUCAAAAUCAAGGGAAUUGGUGGGGGCCUGCAUAAGCAAUGGAUCAGGUGGUUAAAUUUGAUGCAAAGUGAAGAAAAUUAGUGGGGCUUGAUAUAUCGUGAAUCCUCUUGAAAGAGAGGAGUUCCUUAGAGAACGUGGAAACAUGUGGUGAAUGGAUGUUUUCAUAUCAUUACCUAAGGUGUUGGGUUAAGUCCCUAAUGAUGAGAAAUAAAGACUCACACUAAACCAACCAAGAAAGAUAAUAUAGAUUUAAACAAAAAAAAUGACAAUGACACAUAGUACAUAGAGAUUUUACCUUGGAAACCGAAUGUUACACAUUAUUUUCAUCAUCCCUAUGAACGUUAUUGAUGUAAACCUAUCUGUUGCCUUCAGAGGGGUCAGUGGCCUGAUUUCCUGAAGAGAGAAGGGGGAAGAACUUUUCCUGAGAAAAGAAGUUGCAUUUUCCCUUGUAAAAACCCUGUUAAAAAAGGAAGUUCGCAGGUUGCUAUAUAGGCAGGGUGUGAGAAUGCCUGAUUC